GGGGCGGGGCCCAAAGUCGCUGGAGUUUUGCUCCCGGGACGGGACGUCCGAGGUGAGCGGCUGACGUCAAGGUGACGCGCCAAUUUAAUCACAUGUGACGUCACAUUUGGACCUCUUGGCUCGCCGGCCGCUAUUGGUCAGGCUGCCUUCGGGGAUCCCUUGUUAAUUGGGUAUUCACUUUGCCUGGCCUGGUAACCUAGAGUCGGAGCCCCGCCCCUUAGGAGGUGGUAGUGGAGAGUCGGGGGAGUAGGGGAAUCUCUUCCUCCCCGAGUGGUCCUUGAAGAGGAAGACCCCCACCCCAAAUGUGUGUCCAAGAAAACCAUUCAUGGAUUGAAGGAAUACAGUGUCUCACAAACAGUGGAACAUUGUUCCUGAGAGAUUUGGGUGAGAGUUGUCCCCAGAAUCCAGCAAACCAUGAGGUUGGCAGUUCUAAGUGUGCUGAAGCACUAAGGACCAGUAUAAUAUUUCACACAGGAAGCCAUCCCACUGACAUUCCAGGAGGACAUGAAAUGAUAUUUUCAGAUAGCUGAUGCCUAUAUACCAGGAAGUUCCCAGCAUUUUAUAGGUAUCAGCUUCUUAAAGCUCACAACAUUCUGUGAGGUACUGUCACUGCCCUCAUCUUAAAGACGAGGAGAUUGAUGUGGAGAAAGAACAUAAGUGGGGAAGCGGCAGAGAAAGGGGGACAGAGGAUCUGAAGCCAGUUCUGCGGUGACAGGCUGACAUCAUUGAGCCUGAUGUGGAGCUCGAGAUCACAGACCAUGAGAUCAUGGUCUGAGCUGAAGUUGGAUGCUCGACUGAGCCUCCCAGGUGCCCCUCAACUAAGAAUCAUUAACUUUAGGAUCAUAGAAGGAAUGGAGACAGCUUGGUUCUUGUUCAUUCUUGCUCAUGAAACCUUUCUGUAUACCGGAAGUGCAUAAUAGAGGAAAGGCUCAGUGGAAUGGAGGAAGAGAGAUAAUCAUAGAAACCCACAUUGAGCUAACUGACCCCUGGGAUGCAAUUUGAAGAUGAGUAUUCCAAAUUAUUUUUUCUCUGUCCAGAUGAUAGACUAAUAAGGGAAUCAAUCAAUCAGUCAAUCAAACUCAAUCAAUAAGAACCGAGCAAGGCUCAUCUGAGCAAUGAUGGAUGGUACUUGAAAGUGAAUUAGUGACUGAUUUGGAGAGAUUUCAGAGAGGUAGAGCUAACAGUGGCAAAUCAAGUUAACUUGUAUGUAUUGCUGACAGGAUGUGGGCUGGGCAAUAGCAAAUUCUUUCCAAUAGCCUCCAACUGCUUGUGAAGCUGACCUAGAGGCUGCUUCAAAUCUGAUAGAUUGAAACAAUUCCAUCUGAAAUCAUUUUUUCAGCCUUGUAAUUUUUGUAAUAAUAUAUCAAGCCUAGAAACUUGCAUUUAAGCAUCUGAAUACAUCUGAACAGAGGCAAACAAUUCCCAACAAUGCCUCCAUGACAAUAUGCUGUUGGUUGCUAAUUGGAAAAAAGCACAAGUAGUAAUUAGAAGGCAUUCUGUUGCUUGCUGGAAGGCUUCUCCCCUAAAUGGUUAAAAUAUUCAGCUUUAUAGGGUAACAACCUGAUUUAAAUUUUUGGAGUGUUGUGUUAGCAAUGCAUAUUUACUUUUUUUUUUUUUUUCCAGUCAUGUAGGAUGUGUGCACCAGCUUAAAAAUCAAGUCAUGCUCCAAAUGGUUACUAAUAUGGCCACUCCUGGGACCUCCUCUUUACUCCCUCUAGAGACGAAAUCCCUCUCGUGUCAAUUCACCUCAAUGCCUAUCUAAGCCACUGCUCUUCCUCCCAGUCCUUUUCAGGCCAUGGUGCCAGCAGGCUCUUUUCCCCAGUUGUUGACAAUCAACCCUUCAGCAAGAUGAUUGCCAAACAGAAGAGGAACAUUUUGUAAUGCAUCCUGAAAGAAUGUCAAACCCAGAGUUUUAGAAAAUUCAGAUUUACAUCACAAAUUAGGAAGAACUUGGCUAGAAAUAGCUAAGGUUCUGCUGAGAAGAGGAUUUAACUGGGAAUGUGCUCUUGGAAUUUCUGAAUUUGAAGAAGUAUGAUUGCUGAAAGCAUACCAAGUGUUUAAAAGGAAUAACUUAUGAGAUGAUAUGACGCCUGGGCAGCACCAGAAUUGUUAAAAAUGGACUGACAGAAAUGUAUCUGCAGUGACUCUUUUCCUACUUCAGCCUUCAAAGGAACACAGCCACCCAUAUCCAGUCUGUAUCCUGGAAAGACUUAUGACUAACCAAAGAGACGGGAGACCAUGAAAAGAGUCAGUCAUGGAUUGGUAAAGAAACAUUGUCUUUGGGUUGGUGGUAAGGGAAGACAGAAGAAAUGGAGGAAAAAAGGUAGAGCAGAAACCUGAGCCACAGCUGGAUUGAGGGCUCAUUCACUGAUAAAACAAGGAUGACUCAGCGAAGACCUGCGUCAGAAUUUCAGUUCAUCUACGGCAUGAAUGGAUGCUGAAGUAGCUAAUAAUUUUUGAAUACUGUUAUGCUUCCUCUCCAGGUGAGAUGACUUGGGAAUCUGCAGGGAAAGGAGACUUUGCAUGUGUAAGGCUGAAGAACCUUUACCAGGAAACUUGAAAAACAAAAUCUCAAAUCAACAAAAACAAAACAAAACAGAAAGGAUUUUCUGAAGACAAAAUUAUUUAUUGUAUAUAUGGUUAGAUGAAAGUUGUCCAUGGGGUUUCUGACCUCAAUGCAAUUUUAUGCUUUCAAUGGAUUGUUGACGUGGAAAAAGGUCUUAAUGAAGCAGAAACGACAUUUCAUGCCUUUGGUCCAGAAGAAGGGGCUGGCUGACACGGAAAUAAUAUGCCUCAGGAAACAAAUUUAUUUUUCAAGACGUCUGAGGCAGUUGUAUCGGUGCUAUGUAGCAUUUAAAUGACAACAAACUCUGUCCUCAUUGAUAACGGAUGGCUGUUAGAAACACUUUUCUUCUCCUUAGGCUGCCAAGCUCUUCUGUGAAGUACAGUCAUGGAACUUCAGAGAAGCCUUCCAUGGUUAGGUCAUUCGAUGCUGUCACCCCUUCCACAUAAAUAGCACAUCUGCUCAAGACAUAGAGUUUAUUUUGAAGGACACAGAUCUGGAAACACUUUGUCCCUGGAUGGACUUUCAGCCAAAUGAGGAUCUCCAUAGGAAUGGAAGAAAUCACACUCUCUGCUCCAGGAUCCUGCAUUUGCCAGGUCACAUUGCUUUACUUUGGAUUUCUACCAUCCGAGAGAAGGUCAGUCCAAAGACCUGAGACCUACCAUGGUGCUGCAGAUUGCUGAGCAACGCCAGGGAAUAUGUCCUCUUGCAUCCUUGCCAGGACGUCCUUGGAACCACAGUAGAGGGGACGGCCAUCUUGCCAGCGCAACCCAAGGAAAAGCCCCUAGUAGCUGCCAGAACGAAUUGGAGGUCAACCAAUCACCGAGCGACAGCACGACCUGACUGGAAAAAGGCCCACCCGGACCUAAACCCCGAACCGAACCGCUGCAGCUUAAAAACCCCACCCCACCACACCUGGGUGCGACUUCCCUGACUCCUCUCUCUCUCUCUCCGUGAGUCAUGGAACCUCGCCCAAGACCUUAGUUCCCAAAUAAAGCCUUUGACGGCUAAAAUUUUUUAGCCUCUGACUCCUAUCUUUACCCUGCCUUACGCCUGACCCUAAUGGUAUCAACAAUUGCCACGAAGAAAAAAGGUAGCUAAAGGGGAUAGAUUUACUGAAAAAGCUUUGUAAACUAUUAAGACCUAUACAAAUUUAAGAUUUUGCCCUAUUUCAGGCUUGAUUAACAGGAUUAAACUCAAGGUGUUUGGCACUGGAGAGUGCAUUAGAUUUUUCCUUACAAGAGAAGUUCCUGUUACUGCCCUUUGUAAGUUCAAUGUUUUUUAGAAGGUUCCAUUUUCCCCACCUUUACCUAAGUCCUUAUAUCGGCAUGAGGCUUCUAGGAAAGGACUCAGCCUCUUUAAAAUAGAGACAAAUUUAAAUAUAUCUAGGAUUUGAAUGUUUCCUGAAUCUUAAUUUCAAUCUUUAUGUCAUUGGAAAGUUCUUUUUUCUUAUUUUGCCUAAUCCCUAUUUUGGAUUUCUCUGUUCUUCUUUUUCUUCCUUUCUAUCUUUCUUUUUUUUGUGAACUACUCAGUGCUUUAUUUUAUUUUUGUCUGUUGAAGAUAGAAUCAUUAUCUUUAUAGGUGCUCUGUGUUAAAUAUUAAUCUUCAAUAGAGGUUGCACUCAGUUCAUUUUAUGUAAUUUCUUGAUUAAUGUUAAAAGCACACUUCUCAAACAUUUAUGAAUGUACCUCUAAAUGCAAGGCAUGUCUUUGAAUAGAGAGAAUAGCGAACCACUCUGUUCUUUCACUGGGUUGGACACAACUGAAUUAAAAGUGAGGCUGAGAAGCCAGUUGCAGAUUUUAACACAAAAACAGAGGCUUCUCACCUAAGAGUCUGAGUACUUCCAACUCCAACUGGAAGGACUGCGUCCAUAUAAUAUGAGUUGCCUUUGGGCAUAAGUUAAUGGAAUUCAAAUGAAUUUAGAUACUCAUUCCAUUUAGCUGGACUACUUUAAAAUGGAAACUCCUACUGUUAAAAUUCAAUAGUAACUGUUCAUUAUCUCUCAUUCUAAGAUGCUUUAAAUACUUUUUAGACUGCCUCUAGUUGCCACAAGCUAGGUGACCAACAGAAGCAUUCCCUAAGCCUGUUUAGCAGUGACAAAACAUUACCUUUUUCUUGAAGGUCAAGGAGGGGUUGAUGGAUGGAUGUUGUGAGCAUUUCCUAUACCUUUUUCUUGGACUCAAAGAACAAACAUUAAAAUAGUUGAUAAGAGUGUUUUAUAAAAGAAUGUGCCCCUAAAGUGAGAAGCAGGAUAUGGACUGUAUCAUGACUUUGAAAACACUGUAUUUUGCACCAGUAAUCAAUAUUAUUAGCUUUAAAUUAUCCUCAAAGUUUAAAUCUGGGGAUUUUUCUCUAAGUUACUCUAAAAAAUGUUUGAUUUGUCUGAAAUGGAGAGGACCCUUGCAUUUUUAUUUUUAAAAAUUGUUAAGAAGGGCAGAAAUUAAGAUAAUAUUGAGAUCCUAACACUUGAAAUCCCAUUUAAUAGUCUCUGUAUGAGGGUAUUUUUUAAAGUAACAAUUCAUUAUCCUUUCCCUGCUUCCACCUAUUCUUUUUUAAUUCUUUUAAUUAAGAGAAUUAAAGGUUUUAUUUAUUUACAGUUUGUUAACAGACAAUAAAAUUCUACAUGAUACAAACACCAAAAUAAACACUGAUUUAACUAGGCAUUUAAAUAUUUGCUGAAACAUUAUCUAUUUCUUUCUCAAAUCCUACUUAACAAAUUAAUUACCUACUUUCAAAAGUAGAUUUUUUUUUUAAUGUUUGUGUGUGUCAUUUCCAGCAUGAAACUUGCCUUUUAAAACUAAGGCUCAGAGACAAAUGAUCCAUUCCAUUUUUUCUUUCUUAUUUUCUUACCUUUCCUGUCCAGUUCUCAACAAGCUGUGUAUUCGUGUACCUGAAGGACAAGACAAACAUCUUUUUUGAAUAAAGCUGUGCUAUACAAUUUGCUGGCAUACAUGAGAGGAAUUCUCUCAGGCACAUUCUUUUUUCCCCAUUUCCUCCCACUAUCUUGACCAGAGGUUCUCCCUACCCAAACUCCAAUCUCAUAAUCUGAAAAGAAAAAGAAAACAUUGUUCCAGCUCAUUCUGGUUUGAAAAAUAGGCCUUUGAGUGCUAUUUACAGAGUCAUUUCCAUGACAAUAUCAAAGCCUUCAAUUUCUAUUCGGUGUUAAAAGAGGAAAAUCUCUCAUUCAAGUGACCCUUCAGACCUGUAUUUUAUCCAAGGUGUGAGAUCGAUGUGAAAUGAGCCCAUAAAGAAAAUGGUUAGGAAAAACCAAUAAGCACACUCUGGGAUUCUUUCCUGGGGUGUUGGGUUCCAUGUAACCCUCAGCUUUAUUUGCAUUAAUCCUCUAUUGAAUGUAAGAAUUAGAGAAAGCUCUUUAAAUGAGGACAUUGAAACUUUUUCUACCUCUGUUCUAGAUUCUAUUGAAAGUCUAGGCACAUCUAAAAAAUAAAAUCACAUUUGUAUAGGUAGUGGCACUUACAAGAGAUCAAAAAGUUCAAAUAACUGAGGAAUUUGCAAGAUGAGUAUUUCAAGUGCAGUCAUAUCUGUUGUCUCUUUAAUAGUGAUGAAAGUCAUCCUACAAAAGGAGUAUUUUUGGUAGCCUUAGAAACAGAAACCCUUUUUCUGGUGGGAUUUUUGAGUACUAAUUCUGCUGUUGGAAUUAUCCAAACACUGAAGAUAGUGAAAUAAGACAUAAAUAUGCUAAACUUUAAAAACUUUUACUUUUCAAAAAGCUGUUUUGAGUUUCAGAUGGAAUUUCCAUCCUUUUCUUAUUUUGUGGGAAGGAUUUUGGCUAUUAAACUGCACAGUGAAUCUGACCCUUAAGAGCACGAAAAUCUUGGAU